CUCUAAUUGUUGUUACUGCCUGCAAUAGUGGCAUGAAGCUCAACUAGGAUUUCUUAAGAGCUGAACUCCAAAGCAAGUUAAUUAAUAAAUAAGCAGCCACAAUUGUUUGUUGAGAAUGUGAUAAGUUCUAAGAAUUUACAGAGAAUGCGAAUGACAAAUAAAACUCCCACAAGGAACUUAGAAAGUACCUAGAUAAACUUGGCACAAGAAACCACCUGCAAACGUAAGAAGGAUUAUUAUGGAUCUGAGCUGGGCAAAGACCAGGUGUGUGUGUUGCUGUGUGUGAACAGAUCUUCGUCCUUGGCUGGGGCCAGAGUCUUCCAGCUUCUGGCAGGAGUUUCUAGAGCCCCUCAACCUGCAGAGAACUGACACCAAAGCUUUCCACAGCUGUAAGAGAGUCGGAGGAAGUGCCUUUGCACAAAACUGCUUGGAAAUGGGGCCAGCAGCUAGAUAAAGAACUGCAAAAGCAGAAAAUGGCCCAGGGUAUUUUUAAAACUCUUACAAAUAGGAGCAAGCCCAAAUUUGACAUUGGCUGGCUGUUUCAUGUGGCUUUCUCUUUCACCCACCUUCGCUUCAAAGGGAUAGUUUUUUUUUCCUCUCUCUGCCGAAAUACGUGGGCUCAGGUAGCAACGACUCAGCUCCAACAAACGGCGCAAGUUAACACUUGUGAGAGCUGCACUCAAGUAGCAAAGGAAGCUGAAGUUGAAGUAAAACCACACCUCCUUCCCCGCAGGUGACAAAGAUAACCUUCCCCGGUCUGGCUUUUUCCCUCCAGCAACAAGCAGGCUGAGGUGAAGGGCAACUGGGCAGGAAGGAGAGAGUGGAACUGGAGGUCAUCCCGUCUUCCCUACUGCCCUCUCUCCCUGCCUCUCCACUUUCCAUCUCCACCCAGAGCUGACCCAGUGCGGCCAUGUGAGGGGAACUGGCGGCACCAUGUUCUCGCUCUAAAACGUCUUCCCCGGCACCUUAUACCUCUGUUCUUUCUUUUUUCAAAAUAGUUCUUAGUAAGGGUUUGAUAAACUGCAUUUACCCUAUGGUGUAGAAGAUACCAUAGAAUCAUCCAUACUAUAGGUAAUUAAUGCACUUUUAUGUAUCCUCCUUUCUGGGGAUAGUCUUACUCUUAAGCCAAAUUAGUGGGGCAUUUCAGGCAUCAGUAAUUCUAGAAUGGGAGAAAGUGAACAUAGAGGGUAUGCUUUGGAUUCUAAAAUCAUAUCAUGAAAACACUAAUUCGAAAAGACAUAUGCACCUCCUAUGUUCAUUGCAGGAUUAUUCACAAUAGCCAAGACUUGGAACCAAUCUAAGUGCCCAUCAAAGGAUGAAUGCAUAAAGAGGAUGUGGUAUAUAUAUAUAUAUAUGUAUAUAUAUAAAUAUAUGUAUAUACAAAAUGGAAUCCUACUCAGCCAUAAAAAAUGCCAAAUCGUGUAAUUUCUAAGAACAUGGAUGGACCUUGAGGGUAUUAUGCUAAGCGGAAUAAGUCAGACAGAGAAAGACAAAUACCAUAUGAUCUCACUCAUCUGUGGAAGAUAAACAAACAAACACUUAGAUUUGGAGAACAGAGAGAAAGGGGGUGGCGGAGGGCAAAAGGAGUAAAGGAGCACAUACGUAUGGUGAUGAAUGGAAACUAGACUAUUGGUGGUGAACACAUGCAGUCUAUAUAGAAGCUGCCAUAUAAUGAUGUACACCUGAAAUUUACACAAUGUUAUAAACCAAUGUGACCUCAAUAAUUUAAAAAAUAAAAUCAUAUCACAUGAGUAGCUACCUACUCAUAUAUGUAAAAAGACAGCAGUCUACACCCCUAAACACACUUAAAACACACAUCAAACACUCACUAUUAAGUGACCUGUGUUCCUACAGUCCUCUGCAGAAAAGCAAAGGACCUUUGUUUUGAGUGAAACUUGUGAUUAUGUGCAAUGAUCAAGGCCCAGGC
ensembl:lncRNA